CCUACGGGAGGCAGCAGUGAGGAAUAUUGGUCAAUGGACGAGAGUCUGAACCAGCCAAGUAGCGUGAAGGAUGACUGCCCUAUGGGUUGUAAACUUCUUUUAUCAGGGAAUAAAACGAGGCACGUGUGCCUUUUUGCGUGUACUUUAUGAAUAAGGAUCGGCUAACUCCGUGCCAGCAGCCGCGGUAAUACGGAGGAUCCGAGCGUUAUCCGGAUUUAUUGGGUUUAAAGGGAGCGUAGAUGGGUUGUUAAGUCAGUUGUGAAAGUUUGCGGCUCAACCGUAAAAUUGCAAUUGAGACUGGCAGUCUUGAGUACAGUUGAGGUAGGCGGAAUUCGUGGUGUAGCGGUGAAAUGCUUAGAUAUCACGAAGAACCCCGAUUGCGAAGGCAGCUUACCAAACUGUGACUGACAUUGAUGCUCGAAAGUGUGGGUAUCAAACAGGAUUAGAUACCCGUGUAGUC
rnacentral:rRNA from 1 species